rnacentral:rRNA from 1 species
UACAGAGACUGCGAGCGUUAUUCGGAUUCACUGGGCGUAAAGGGUGCGCAGGCGGCCAAGUGUGUGAGGCGUGAAAGCCUGGAGCUUAACUCCAGAAUUGCACCUCAAACUACUUGGCUAGAGCAUUGGAGAGGGUAGCGGAAUUCACGGUGUAGCAGUGAAAUGCGUAGAUAUCGUCAGGAACGCCAAUGGUGAAGACAGGUGACUGGGCUAGAUCUGACACUGAGGCACGAAAGCGUGGGGAUCAAACGGG